UUUUUUUUUUUUUUUUUUGCUUGCAGUCUAGGAACUGGCCGAGUAUAGUACAAAAUGUUUCAUAGCCAUCAUAAUGCUCCAACUCGAUCGUUUAUGUCGUUUGGUUUCAUAGCACCGUUCUCCUUGUGCAUUUUAUUAUUUUCAUUUUCAUUUUGGUGGAAGCUGUAUUUUAUUUUUCACUCCUGAUGUUGGAAGUAGAUAGGAGUGUAAAUGGGCCGACUGCUAGAUUAUUUGCAUUGCUCUUUAUUAUGCUUUUGCUAUGCCAUGUUAAAGAAAUAGUCCAUUUAUUAUUUGAAGGAACAUGUAAUAACUAACGAUCAUUGCCUAAUUCCUUAGUCCAGUAACGAAGAUGUAUUAAAAAAAAAUUUGAUGACAGCUGGGUAGUAUCUCCAUCGGCU
rnacentral:misc_RNA from 1 species